GGCUGUGGCUCAGUGGAAGAGCUUCGGCUUUUCAUGCAUAAGGUUCCAGGUUCAAUCCCCGGCAUUGCCA
rnacentral:tRNA from 1 species